rnacentral:rRNA from 1 species
AGCAGCCGCGGUAAUUCCAGCUCCAAUAGCGUAUAUUAAAGUUGUUGCAGUUAAAAAGCUCGUAGUUGAAUUUCGGGGUCAGUAGAUUGGUCGUGCCACUGGUAUGCACUGGUCUUACUGGCUCCUCCUUCCUGAUUAACCGUAAUGCCAUUAAUUUGGUGUUGCGGGGAGACUGGACUGUUACUUUGAAAAAAUUAGAGUGUUUAAAGCAGGCUAACGCUUGAAUACAUUAGCAUGGAAUAAUGAAAUAGGACGUUCGAUCUUAUUUUGUUGGUUUCUAAGAUUGACGUAAUGAUUAAUAGGGAUAGUUGGGGGCAUUAGUAUUCAAUUGUCAGAGGUGAAAUUCUUGGAUUUAUUGAAGACUAACUACUGCGAAAGCAUUUGCCAAGGAUGUUUUCAUUAAUCAAGAACGAAAGUUAGGGGAUCGAAGACGAUCAGAUACCGUCGUAGUCUUAACCAUAAACUAUGCC